rnacentral:rRNA from 1 species
GAUGAACGCUGGCGGCGUGCUUAACACAUGCAAGUCGAACGUGAAGCACUGACUGAAUACUUCGGUAGGAUUUCGGUGUGGAAAGUGGCGGACGGGUGAGUAACGCGUGGGUGACCUACCUCGAAGUGGGGGACAACCAUUGGAAACGAUGGCUAAUACCGCAUGGUCCUAUUUGUAUGGGAAUACGAAUAGGUAAAGCUUUGGCGCUUUGAGAGGGGCCCGCGUCCGAUUAGCUUGUUGGUGGGGUAAAAGCCUACCAAGGCGACUAUCGGUAACUGGUCUGAGAGGACGAUCAGUCACAUGGGAACUGAGAUACGGUCCCGACUCCUACGGGGGGCAGCAGUGAGGAAUAUUGCGCAAUGGGGGAAACCCUGACGCAGCAACGCCGCGUGGAGGAUGAAGGUUCUAGGAUCGUAAACUCCUUUUUUGAGGGAAGAGCAAGGACGGUACCUCAAGAAUAAGUCACGGCUAACUACG